CCUCUUCAGCUUCUCAACUUUUCAAACGCUUCCAAAAUUCCCGUUGAAUAGUAACAAAAGAAUCCAAUGCACUGAAAAAGGCUCUUCAGCUUCAAGUCUUGAUCCCAAGUCCGGAGUUUCAGUCUACAAGCCCAAGUCCUAUGAAGUUCUUGUCGCUGAUGCUGCAAAAUCGCUUGCUUAUGCUCUUGAAGAUGGAAAGACCCGCUUGGAGAUUGAUUUUCCGUAAGUUUUUUUGCCCUUGUUGUUUGGAUUUGUUGAAAAGUUCUGGAUUUUGAGAAAGUCGAUGAGAAUUUGUGGAAGGUUUUGAAGUAGAUAUUGUUUGGAUUUUUGGUCGUCGAGUUUUGUUUGUUUUUUGGGCAUUAACCAAAAUUGAUAUGCUAUGCAUGAUCCAUAACGUGUUACCGUUAUGAUGUUGAGCACACUGCAAGUUUGUUACUAUGAAUAACUUGCCAUCUAGAAGAAAGAUGGAAAAUAUCUUUAAAAGGUUGAGAACUUUAUGAAAAUUAAUAAAUAGAACAAGGCGUUCGGGAAAAUUGCUUGAUGGAAAUAAAGAACCUAAAUUUGGCUAAGAUAGGGAUGCCUGAUAAAGAAAAACAUUAUCUUGGAGGUGCUUUAACUGUAAUGUAAAAUGUUUGCGGAAGCUUGUUGACUAGCUUUUAUAUUUAAUAGAAAUGAGGUUAUGUAAUUUAGAGACUACUAUAUCAAGGAAUUACUUUUCCUAUCAAACCAUAGUAAUGUGAGUUCAUUCCUGUUUGGGGUAUUCCACUAGGAAAUUUUGGUUAGUUGUAUCUAUUGUUUAGGCGUUCUAGUGGCUUUCAUAUAUUCUCCUAAUACUUGUUCUUUUUCAUGUACCUUAUUUUUUCGAGCUUGUGCCUCCAGACCCCUGCCUAGCAACAUAUCUUCUUAUAAGGUAUCUCUCUUUGCUACAAAAUUAUUAGAUGGCUGGAUGACCCAUCAUGGUUUACACCUGCUUACUGGAGAUUGUUUUCACAUAUUGAUUGUAAAAGCAUCCUGUUUUGACUCCAUUUAGUCUUCACAGUUGUUUGUUGAUUUGUUAUUUUUCUGUCAGUCCUUAUUUUUGAUAUAGUAAAAGGCUUUAUAAUCAUGCUAUGCUUAUGCUCCAACCCCAAAGAAAAGAUGCUAUACAAUACCCUACUAUCAUUGUUCUUCUUUGAUUUCCUCUUAUCAAUCACAGUGAUAUAGCUUGUUGAUGACACAUAGCAAUCUGAAUACAUGAGACAUGAUUUUCUCAACUUCCUAAACAUGUAAAAGGGGUCUUCAGAUGACUUCAUUGAUGCCAACGUACAACUGGCCUUGGCUGUUGUAAGGAAGCUCAAAGAAAAAAGGGAAACGAGAGCUUGCAUUGUAAGUUGAAUUUUCGUUUCAUAUAGACGUUUUAUAUCUUCCAUUUGAAGAGUAUGUUGACAAGAUUUCUUUCUUCAGGUGUUUCCUGAUAAGCCAGAAAAGCGCAGGGCCUCUGAGCUGUUUAAAACAGCUAUUGACACGGUAAAAAAAAAAAACUCAUGAUUUUACUAAUCGUUAAUUCUUUUUAUGUAAUCAAGUGUAACAGAAUCUCCUCAGCCAACAAAUUCAGAAUUGGUAUAAAAUUUUGAUUCACAGAAAAAGGCUAAAAAAAGUAAAAUACAUUUCGUAACAUGCUUUUAAAUAAAAUUUGCAUUUCUUAUGAAAGAAGUAAUGUACACUUGUUGAUUUGUAGAGAUUAAAAUUUACCAAGUUUGUUAUGUGUUUAUACGUUUAUCUUAUAGCCACGAGAACUAUUCACAAAGCAGAUUACAGUUCAACAACUCCUUGUAUCAUUGUUUUCAUUCUGAUUUUUUUCUUCAGCUCGAUGACAUAACCAUAGGUUCCCUGGAUGAUGUCCCUGGUGGUCCAGUAACCAACUUCUUCAGAUCUAUAAGGAACACACUUGAUUUUGACUUUGAAGAUGAAAAUGAAGGUUGGUCAUAACUUAUAGGACUCAAAUGCUUGCUUGUUUUCCCUUUUCAAUUGAUUGCUUGUAUCCCUCUUCUUAGCUUUCACCUCAACUGAAGAAUUUUCAUGCUAAUUUGAUAUUUUUUUUUUUUUUUGGUUCAAUGCAUGAUCCAUCUAUAUAAUAAAGAGUAUUAACUUUUUUUUUUUGGGUGAACAAAAUAAUCAUCCUACAACGCCGGGCACACAUUGAAGAGUAUUAACUUUCAUCUCUAUGUCAUCUCUUAAAAUUGCAGGUCGUUGGGCAUCCAAUGAGCCUCCCUCUCUUUAUGUAUUCAUUAAUUGUAGCACCCGUGACCUUGCUUCAAUAGAGAAGUACGUGGUAUGGUCUCCUCAUUGUUAGCUCUCUCAACCAUUUUGAAGUUUUGACUUUCAAAUAUAUUUCAAUACAUUUUUUGAAUGAAUGCUCUUUCCGACCAUUAAUUUUUGUUCUACCUAUAUAUGGUUUUUAUGCCUGAUGAUUGUAUACUUAUAUAAGAAUUAACUAUGAUCUUACAACUUCAAUUCUUUUAAUGUUUUUUUGGGGUGUCAUGACUUGUUGAUACUUACUAAUUAUAUUAAUUAAUGUUUCCCAAUGAUAAUAUUUUGGUAAGAAUCAGUUUGAUAUGAGUUCAUCUCUCUAGUGAUGCAAAUUCAUCUAUUGGAAUCUAAAAACCACUGUUUGAUCUAGAAAUCUAGAAACAGACCCAAAAAGGAAAAAAAGAUAUAAAAAAUCAAGAAGAUGGGCACAAUUGGGGAAAGAUUUGAAUGCAUGUACAUAUUCUUAUCUAUAUGUUUCAACAACUUUAUUUGCAUUCAAAUUCAGCCAUUUCGAGACUAUGAACUUGAAAUUUACAGCUCUAGAAAUUGAAUGUGCUAACACUGGUUAUUUGUGAUAUAUUCAAUAUGUGCUCCCAUUUGCAUUUCUGGAUCUGUGGUGUGUUGUUUUAAGACUAAUGUUGGCUGUGUUUCUCCCUAAAAUGUAGUGUUAUGUGUAUCCUUCAACAUGCAUGUGCUCUUCUUUUUUUUGUGUGCAUAUUUACUAAACUCCAUUCAGGGAAAUCAUAUGAUCAGUUUAUAUUUGCAUUUGCUGGCUGCUUGAAAUUAACCAUGUACAAUAAACUAAGAAAAUUGUAGUUCGUGGGCAUGUGAAAAUGUGCAGGCAUCUUAUGCUGUUUCCUGGCUACAUAAUCUUAUUCCAGAGUCUAAUUAAAUUUAGCAUAGAGUCUAAUGGUGUCAUUGUCUUACUCUUAAGUUUGAAGUUGUAUGCAGCCUGAAUUUGACAAUUUCACAUGUUAAUCAUGAGGAUAAUCUGGUUCCUCUUUUCCAACUGUGACUCUUCGAGAUUUGCAGGAAACAUUUGCCAUGUCAACCCCGACACUUCUAUUUAAUCUUGAACUCGACACAUUGCGGUAAUCCUUAUGGACCAUACAUCCAAAGUUGAUUUUGCUAUUCUCUGACUAUAAUUUUCAUUUUCAAUUAGAAUCUGUUAAUUAUGCAGUGCUGACUUGGGCCUUGUGGGCUUUCCAACCAAAGAUUUGCACUAUCGCUUUCUUUGUCAAUUUAUUCCAGUGUUCUAUAUCCGAAUAAGAGAGUACUCAAAGGUAUAAUUUAUUUACCUUUAAUAAUUAUUACUUGUUUUCUUUCUUGAUUUAAAUUUUUGGUAACCAUUCAUUUGUUAUCUCCUAAGACAGUAGCAGUAGCACCUUAUAUAGUGAAUUACAAUGGAGCAUUGUUUCGCCAAUACCCUGGUAUGUAUUAAAAGAUUUCUCAUAUACUGGAUUAUUGCUUAUUCUUUAUCUUAACUUUCAUAGGUUUAUAAUUUAUUUAUCCCAACAAAUUGGACGACAGUCCUUAGAUCGUUUAGAUUAUACGAUAAGGUCUUCUUGGAAGAACGAUUAAAGAAUAAUCCAAAGUUAUUUUAAGUUAUGCUAAUUUAUGCAAGACCUGUUAUUCACAUGAUAGUGGUUUCUCAGCACUGAUGCUGCUCUGGACUUGAUGAAGAAUACAUUGUCAAUGUUUGAGAGUCUUGAUCAAGGGAUUUUGUUCAGAAGUCAUCUAAUGCUCACCUUGAUGGUUGGCCAGAUUAGGAAAGGACAGGUGUAGUGGUUACAUGAUAAACAAAAGAUAUAACCCAAUUAGCGCGUCAUGCAAUAUUUACUUGUUUUCUUUGGACAGUUUAGAGUUUGAUUAUUUUGGGACCAUUUGUACAGCUUGCAGAGUGAAUUGGUUAUCUUUGUUAUCUUUAUGUUUGAAUAUCUAUUCUGCAAAAUAGAGUUUGUCUGGAAGAAAUAUUAGAAAAAUUAAUGUGUUCGGGAAGUAACUAAAGUUCUACUUUAGCUUCUCCUUGGGCAUCUUUGUCUAAACACUUUAAAGAUAUUCCUUUUAGUGUUAUUCUUCUUGAUUUGGGGGAGCCUUGAUUUUAUUGUAGUUUAAAUUUGUACUUAGGGUGUUGAUUGACAUCUCUUUCAUCCCAUUAGUAUCAUUUUAUUUAUCAACAAAAUUUUGUUCCUGGGAGAUGGAAAAAAAAAGUUCCCACUUUUAUUGUUUUUAUAAAUUUUAGAAGUUAGUAAAUUCAUCAUAUAGUUCAAUUGUUUCCUUCUUUUACUUUUUGGAAAACAUGACAAUGUCGAUAACAUGCUAUGCGUUGUACAAUUGAUAGAUCUGAUUCUCACUGGACAUUUACAAAGUUUUACAAUGCGACUGCUUUCAGUGUCUCUUUGAGCCUUUGUCAUUUUUCUACUACUCUUGUUAAUUAUCUCCUAAUCAGUUGGCAUGGAUUUAUGUUAUCUUCUGUGCAUUAGCAUUGAUUUUAUGUUUUCAUUAUGGACGCACUUUUGUAACCCCAGGAAGGUAUUGCUGUACAAUCAGCUUGUUUGUGGUUGUUAACCAUGAUUUUGUUGCACUUUAUUUUUCUAACGCAUCCACUGUUUUCUUCAGUAUGAGUGUGUGCUUCAUUCAGCAUGUGGCGGUGUCUCAUCUUUUCUCAAAUUUGUGCAGGGCCUUGGCAGGUAAUGCUUAAACAAGCCGAUGGUUCUUUUGCUUGCGUAGCAGAGAGUGCAACACGCUUCACUCUGGGUGAAGUAUAUAUCUUUCUCAAGCUCCAGUUAUUAGUUACUUUCUGUUAGUUGCUAGGAAUACUUUGGUAUGCUUUCGGGCUGAUUAUUUGUGUGGUGUUUAGACAAAAGAAGAACUGUUGAGGGUCCUGGGACUGCAAGAGGAACAAGGAAGCUCGCUGCAAUUUCUUCGUAGAGGCUACAGGGUUAGCUCUCCUUAUCUUAAACGUUUUCCUUUAUCUAUAGAUAGUUUUUCCUAUUUUUUGUCUCACUAAUUUCUUACUAUAAUAAUAUUAUAAAUUUAAAUUGGCAAUCCCCAACCUUAGUUUUCCCUAUGUUUUCAUGGCAAUUAAACUUUUGGAACUUAAAUAACCAACCCCCAACGUUCAUUCUCUCUCUCUCUUUCUCACAUUCACUCACACGCUCGCAUGCAUACACACACCCUGUCAUGUUUCUUAGUGGUUCUGCAAUCUGUGGCUUUCUAAAGGUUGUCCUUUUCCAUUAGAAAAUGGAAGAUUUAAAGGAAAGCUCAAUUUGUGAAAUUAAGUAAUAAUUCCCCUUGAUCCAAUAAGGGCCAAAUCAUUUAUAUGGAUUCCUAAAAUUUGAUUCAUCUAAAUCAAGUCAAGGCACUCAGUUGGUACGGUGUUUUGGAUGACAAUCUCCUUUGUUUAUUGAAACCUUUGAAAUUUUUCUUAGGUGCAUUGUUAUGCACCAUAUUGUACGGCACAGUUACUGAAAUUUGCUGCUGCAAUCUGGGAUCAUAGUAAACUUUGCUCUCCGCAAUAGAUUUUUGCAAUGCAUUACUUCUGCAAUCUGCUUUUCUGAAAAUUUAUAUAAAAGAUACGAAUAUGUUUAAGAUUAUGAAGUUUCUAGGAAAAAAAGAAUUCCUUUAGCAAUGUUACAAGCUCAAAACUACCCCAAGCAUUGAGAAUUUAAAUUCAAAGCCCAAAGUGGUGUUUCCAUGAAAAAGAACAAAAUUGUUCUACAUUGAUGUAACAGAAUAGUUCUGUGGAUUGUUACACAUUCUUGCUUCAUAGAGCAUACCAUGGGACACAUUGUACAUAGUGUAUCUUGAUUGUAAUGCAUUGUUGGUAAGUGGAGUGCACCAUGUUCCAGUUGCUCUUCUGUCUACUGCUAUUGUCUACUUUCCUUACAACACCGUUUCAUACAGAUAACCUAGGUUGCUGGUUCUGGUUUGGAAUUUCUGACUGCAAAAAUUUCAAACAAUGUCUUACCAGCUGCUAAAUAUGACUAACUGAAAUGUUAUUGAACUGGUCGACUUGAUGAAAUGGACUAGAAAAUUGAAUGUCAUGGAGCACCUUUUACCUUGUCUAUGGUCAUUUUCAGAAGUUACCAGUUUCCCUCUCAAAUCAUUUAAACAUUCAAAUGCAAAAACAUAUUAUGAAAGGAAUAACAAUAACUUGAAAAUCUAAUUGGAUGGGAUGUGAUCUAAUAUUGCAGAGCGCUACUUGGUGGGAAGAAGAUGUUGAGUUGGAAGUAUCUUCUGCUUGGCGUAAUUGAGCAGCUGAAAGAGAUGAAUGCCAGUUUUCCAAUGGAUCCGGGAUACUCAGUUGAGUUGGAUAAUGCAUAGAUGUAAUCAAGGCAUGAUGUUUUUUUCGGGAUUUUUAUGGUGAAAUGACCCAAAAUGAAAACCAGUACGCAAAAUAACUCAUUUGUUUCUGAAGUAGAAAAUUAACCAUUUCUGUAUUGGGAAAGACCAUCGUGUCCGAGAUAUGAGUUGAGAUGGAUUGAGAUGAGCGUAUAAAGCGCUUUCCCCAUAUGCAGAAACAGUUGGUUUUUCUAACUUUUGAAAGAAGAGUGAGUUAUUUUUCUUGAUUUUUAUUUUGGGUCAUUGGAGCAUUAAACCCAUGUUUUUGCCCCCUAUUUAUUUUAUUUAUUUCAUCAAUUUUAUUCAUAUAUUGUAUUUAUAAAGUUUGUUUAGUACGUAGAAAAUGUAAGUAAAAUACAUUCUAUCUCUGCAAAGUUGAGGUAGCCCACCUGCCAUAGCCAACCACUUUAAACGAGAAAACUGAGGGAGCCAUGAAGCAGACCUUCAAUCGAAUUGUGAUUUUCACAUUUAAAAGAAAAUUGGCAUUUGGAUUGCUAAUCUAGUUUUGGAGGGUUUGAAAAAUAGCUGAACUUUGUUAUGCAAGUUCUGUUGACGCGCAGAAUUUGGCCGUGCCCUGGGAAGGAAAGUUGCAAUUGCUGAGGACAUCAGCUUCUAUCAAACAUGAACUCGUUAAGCCAAACACCAACAUGAGCAUCUUUCAUAGCUGGUGGACUGUAACAUGGCAUUCUUCCCUUUGAUGAAUAAUAUCAUACAAGGAAGACUAUGGCUACCCUUUUCAUACAGCUACAUAAUGUUGGCAUCCAUUUGAUUUAACGACACAUAAAGCCUAUAAACAUAUAAUAAACUGCCACCAAAAUCAUGCUAUGAAAAUUGUUUGUGUGAGUGUCUACCUAGUGGUAUACAUUUUAUACAGCUCUUGGAUUUCGGACAUCAAUUCUUAUCAUCAUAAGCUGAGAAGUCAGGUUCGGGGGGCCUUCUGCAGCUUGAUCAGCUCUGUGAUACCCAUGCUACCUGUGCUACCUGCACUGCGAAGCGCUAUUGCUGCAAAGAGGGAUGCAAUGAAGGUGGCACGAAGUUUGCUUGUAAUAGAACCGCCUUGAUAAUCAUCAUCAUCUCCUUCGCUGUAGUCAAAGCCUUCUUCCUACUUCUUACGCUGUUUUUCUGCAAAUUUUCUCCUGUAGUGGUGCUAAGCAGCUUGGAUAAAGCAGGCUGCCCAAGUCCUCCACUGCUGGGAGUAGAAAUGGAAGGUGUACUGAACCUGUCUGCUAUGAAGGUGCCCAAACUGGCUGGCAACAAAUUUCAACUCCUCUGCUUCUAAAGCAAAAGCCUCAAACUCAUUUAUAGCCUUCACGGUUCGAGUAGAUGAUGGUAAGUUAGAACUAGCUUUGGGAUCCAAUGCCCAUGUUAGGAGCUCUUCUCCACAAAAGUCUCCUUCGAGCACACCGCUGUUGAAAAAUCCACUCCUACCACCAUCUGUCGUCACACUUUCUAGGCGACCACACAUCUCACCAACUGGGUCCCCUUCCCGGACAAUAUAGGUAUUCUCUGUGCAUAGACUUGGUUUUAGAUGCUCACAAAUGGCAUCAAGCAACCGCUUAUCCAUAUUGGCAAAAAGAGGCACCUGCAUGUAUAUGAGUCAGGACCGUGUGAAGUUAACCGUCAUCACAAUACAGAAGAGCAAAUAUGAGCAGACCGACAUGGAAGAAUUAUAAAGAUCAUACAAGGGGAAGUUUGCAAAUUUAAAGAAAAAACAGAAAAAUUCUGUAUGAAUUUAAACCCCAUGGCCAAGAAGGUAGCGUACUUCCUUAAUUUAACUUGACCUUUUUGAAGGAAGAGCCAUCUAAUUAGCUGUCCACCAAAGCGCAUUGAUAUGUAUGUGUGCAUUCCAUGCAUAAGAUUGACAAGGACAAAAACAGGUAUAGCUUAAGAUUGUUGAUCAGGGAAAACAUAUAUAUCUGCAAUAACAUAAUAACAUUAAUGAAUAAGAAUGAACAUUGACGUGCGGAUACUUACCCUUCUAACCAAAUUCAAGCAGAGAUGCCGUUUAAUGUCCCUUCUGAGAUCUUCUGGAAGACUCCGGAAAAUGCUCUCCUCAUCUACACCUCGAGUCUCCAACCACUUGUAUUGAUCGUAGCGUCGACCCUUUCCCUAAGAUCUUGUGGAAGCCAGUGAUGGUGCAUCCCAUGCUUAGCUUAGAGUCGCGCUUUUUAAUCCUCAUCUCCUCGAGACGAAUCGUGAGAGACUGAAAGUAGGUCUGGUGAAAUUUCAUUAAAAGUAUCAGUUUUUUUAUGGCUUAAAGUUAGAAACCACAUACAAAGUAGAAAGUAGAAACAAGUUUGCAGAAUUAUGUUCAUGUUCCGUAGAAAUAGUUUCUGGUGAAUCUAAUUGGUGGAACGUCAUAACAAUGAUUGGGAUCAACAAUAACCAACACUUUUCCCCAUUGUGAAAGCACAUACUCUCUCUGGGUUGGGCAUCCUCAUCUUCAACCAACAUUUCCAAAAUAAAGGACGUAUAUGCCUCACCUGUAUAUUUCCAAUCAGAAGGGCAAAGAGGAUGAGCCCAAAAAUUCCUAUCCCUAUGGAAAAUAGAAUCUCUAAAGCAAAGGUACUGGUUUCAAGCCCCUGCCCAAGUGUACUGCAGAAAGUGAAAUAACAAUGUGCUGAAAGUUAAUCAGAUUUGAGAACCCAAAUCAAAAUAUUUUGCAUACUUUAACAAUACAAAAUAGUCACUGAACUUUAAAUGCAAAGAUGAUGCCUUAAAAGUUGACCAUUUUGAAGGAUGCAUCAGUUUCAGAUAUCACAGAACAACAGUCAAAGCAUAUGAUGUCAAUAUGCAACAGAAUUGAAGCUUAUCUAAACACACAAGGAAGAAAUCCUCCCUACACAAACUCUUCCUUCUCUGCACUAACUUUCUUCCGCAGAGAUGUUGCUUAUUUUUAUAAGGCAUGCAUACAGAUGAGGCACAGGUGAAGUAACAAGCACUGGAGUCUGUGGUAUCAUAUGGAGACUCAUGCACAAUGGAAAAGCCAUACCUCAACAAUGUGUCAUUUAAAAGUGACCAUACCUCAACAAUUACAAUUUUAUGGAUUCGUUUCAUAUUAUACAUGAACACAAUUACGAAAGCUGAGUGCUGAGCUUUGAAUUUUAUCAACCAUUAAUUUUCUUGUGUAUUAUAUACCAAAUUUGAUAUAUGAAUCAUGUAUGAGUCCUUGUUUUACAAUUAUGAUGAUGGGUUAGUUCAUGUAAUCUUAUCUUAUAGAUUUUGGCAAAAACAAAAGAAAAAAAAUCUUGUCAUAUGAAUCUUGCCAAAAAAAAAUGAUGUGACAUGAAUUUCAUUUUUCACUUAAAUUAUCAAAGCAUUUAAACAAAUUAAUCUAAUGUUAUCCGAUGGAGCACCAAACAUAAUAUAACUUAGUCAGAAUAUUUAUCUGAAACAACACAAAAUACCUUAUAAAUAAAUUAAUACUAUCCGAUCAAAAUUAAUCAGUACAAUCUGAAGUACCAAACGAGCCCUAAAGUUCAUCAAAUAUCUUACUCGGAUGACUUUGGAGAAGAGAAUUUGAACUUAAGAUUUAUGUGGGUUGAAUUAUCUAAACUAUUAAUUGAAGCUACAAGCCUCCACUUCAAUUACACAACAGACAACAAAAUCAAUCUGAUUACCUAUUCCAAUUAUGAUUAUUUUUUUAAAGAAAAUCUAGGCAACAUGCUUUAAAUGGAACUAGCCGUAAUUUACAGAAAAAUAACAGGUUUUCUUAUUAAUCUAUGAAAUUUCUAGAAACUAAAAAGCAACAGAAAAUGAUAAAAUAAAAUAAAAAAGUUUUUCAUCUAAGACAAAAUAUUAAAAUAAUCCAGCUUCUCCAAAAUUGGACAAAUCCGUCCAAUUACUAUUUAACAAUUACAUGAAAGAACUCUUAUGUCACUGUUAGACAAUCACCCAAGAGUUGUUUGGGGGACUGAACAAUUUUGUCUUGGUGUCUUUCUAUUUGUCCUUAUAUGAUAAAGCCCCAAAAAGUAAUUGUUUGGUUUGUAACAUUAAUGAAUUAUUUAAGAAUUUUUGUUUUUAAUUAGUUAGAAACAUUUCUUGUCUGUUUUCCGUACUUGUAUUAGAGUGGCUCCAGCGAAGGAGCCCAGCCCGAGGCAAGGGCAGAAAAAAAAAAAAAUUUCGCUCCAGCGUGCAGCCCAGGCCCGGGUUUGGUGUGGGACCCACCAACUCGGGCCAGCCCGAAGGCCAAACCAGCCCCAGGUCCAAAACGCGGGUGCUGACGUCAGCGCUGGCGUCACGCUGACGUCAGCUAGGGCUGUCAAAAAAUUUUUACCGUUGGCGCGUGCAAUGCACGCGCCAACGGUAAAAAAAUUUUGAAUCAGCGCGCGCUGACGUCAGCGCUGACGCCAGCGCCAACGGUAGGCUGCCACGUGUCGCGCUCAGUGCCUUCCGAUCUGCUUCUCCUUUCUAAUCCAACGGCUGAGGCUUUUUUGGGUGAAAAAAAUAUGAAAAAAAAUUCUAAAAAAUUCUAAAAAAUUAUGGUAUUUUUUUCUAUAAAUACCUAUCAAUACCCUUCACUUUCAACACCAAUACUCUUACAUUUCAUUAUACUUCUACUAAUAUUCACUCUUUUUACACAACAUUUUCCUCUUUUUCAUCUAGCAUUUUGAUUUCAUAUUUUUAUGGCUUCUUCUAUCGAAACCGGAGGGGCUUGGAGCACAAUGGAAGAUGUUUCUUUGUGUGAGGCUUGGCUCCAAAUUUGUCAUUGUCCCGUGUCCGGCAAUGAAAUGAAAUUUUUUCAUAUGUGGAAAAAAAUUCAUGCCGAAUUUUGUGAAAAAAUUCCGGGGUCUACUCGUACGGAGAUGGCAUUAUCCAGUAGGUGGAAAAUUCUCAAUAAAGAGUUGGGAAAAUGGAGAAAUGCCCUAGCAAAAGCGAUGGACAACUAUAGAAGUGGGCAAAAUCGUACUAACGAGGUAAGUAUUUUAUAAUUUUUGUGUUAUUAAGUUUAAUCUCCUAAUAUAUAUAUAUUUUGUUAAUAUUGCUUACAUUUUCAAUAUGUUGUAUAUAUUUUGUUAAUAUUGCUUGCAUUUUCAAUAUUUUGUUAAUAUUGCUUGCAUUUUCAAUAUGUUGUAUAUAUUUUGUUAAUAUUGCUUGCAUUUUCAAUAUUUUGUUAAUAUUUCUUGCAUUUUCAAUAUGUUGUAUAUAUUUUGUUAAUAUUGCUUGCAUUUUCAAUAUUUUGUUAAUAUUGCUUGCAUUUUCAAUAUGUUGUUAAUAUUUCUUGCAUUUUCAAUAUUUUGUUAAUAUUGCUUGUAUUUUUAAUAUGUUGUUAAUAUUUCUUGCAUAUCCAAUAUAUUUUAAAUAUUUAUUGCAUUUCCAUUUUUUUGUUCAAUAGAUGAUUCAAGCACAAAUGUGGUUCGGUGCAACCGGGGGUGGCAAAAAAAGUUUCACCCAUCAUGAAUGUUGGGAGGUGGUGAAAUUUUGCAAACGCUUCGUAAUUAUUCCAACGGGUCCGGAGGUUGUGUUAAACGAGACGCCACUCCGUGAUUCAAUGACAUCGGAUUCACCUCUUGAUUCUCCUAUGAGUCAAGACUCACCCAUCGAAAAGGAGCCGAGGCCCAUUGGCCGAAAGGCCGCGAAGGCAAAGAAGAAGGGUAAUUCAAGCAAUCAAAAUUCACAAUUUUUGGAGGAAAUUGCAAGGCAAAACGGCAUAAGAAUAGAAAUGGAGCAAAAACGCCAAGAGCACGAGUUGGCCCUUGAUGCUGAGUUUGCACGUGAAAGGGAGUAUUUGCACAAAAAAGAUAUGGACAAGACAGAUCGGGAAACCAUGGCGAUGAAUACAAGUCAUAUGUCCCCUGAAACAAAACAAUUUUGGAAGCUAGAACGAAGGGAUGUUAUGAGAAGAAGACUUUUCCGGGAUGAUGGGCCUAGCAACACGGAUUGGUUAAAUGAUGGAAACCAUUAAAUUAGUUAGCAUAUCUUUUAUGUAUUUGUAUUUUAGUUGUUUUCUAUUAAAGUUGUUAUAAUUCAUGUAUUUUAUUUUAUUAGUAAUUCAUAAUGACUUGUAUUACAUUUCAUUAUUUAAUAAACAAAGCAUUCAAUAAAUUACCUUUUUAUUCAACAUAUUCCAUACUUCAAACAAAACAUAAUAAAAUUAAAAUUAAAAGUACAAACAAGGCACAAUAAUAAAAAUAAAAGUACAAACAAGGCACAAUAAAAAUAAAAACACAACCAAACCAUACUAAAUAAAACAUAAGCAAAGCAUCUAUUCUCCAUUAUUAAUCUUCAUUGCCUUUCACCGCCCAUAGAUGCUCCAUCAAGUGAAAUUGACGCAUUUCAUGAAUAUACGAAGAUUGCAUCUCCGUAUAUCGAUCUAUCAUUCGGGUCAUCAAAUGACCAUCCCUCACCAACGGUUCCGGCUCAAACGGUUCUCCAUUUGGCCCCAUGGGCCUUUCAUAAAUCCGUGUCAAAGCCGUGUUCAUUGGAUCCGGUUCGUAGACCUCUAAAGCAUCAUAAUCGUACUCAUCCUCCACAAUCAUAUUAUGGAGGAUGAUGCAAGUCAUCAUAAUGCUUCUGAGGAUCUCCUCAUCAAACAUGCGGGCCGCACCUCGAAUAAUCAACCACCUGGCUUGAAGGAUGCCAAAACACCUUUCGACAUCUUUCCUGUAUCCCUCUUGAUAUGUAGCAAAUAAUUUUUGCUUCUGGGAUCGGGGAUUUGGAAUGGUUUUGACAAAAGUCGUCCACCUCGGGUAGAUUCCAUCAGCUAGGUAGUAUCCUGUCUGGUAUACUGUAUUGUUGACUUCAUAGGUGACAUUGGGGCCCUGACCUCUCAAUACAUCGUUGAAGACGGGGGAUUGACCCAGCACGUUGAGGUCAUUUUGUGAUCCUGCAACUCCGAAGAAGGCAUGCCAAACCCAUGUGUCGAAACCAGCAACCGCUUCAAGGAUGAUACUUUUUUGGCCUUUUCGAUUUCCAUAAUCACCUUGCCAGGCAGUUGGGCAAUUCUUCCAUUGCCAAUGCAUGCAGUCGAUGCUACCAAUCAUUCCAGGGAAUCCUCGAGCUUCGGCUUUUUGCAGAAGCCUUUGGAGGUCCCUGGGAGUAGGUCUACGCAGGUAGUCCCUAGUGUACAGAGUUUCAACAGCUUGACAAAAUCUUACCAAAGCCUCCAACGUAGUGGACUUCCCCAUCCGGGCAAUCUCAUCCACCUGAUCAGCAGAUGCUCCAUACGCCAACAUUCGUAUAACAGCUGUAAGCUUUUGCUCCGGAAGAAGCCCCAAAACCCCAGCAGCAUCACACUUUUGAACAAAGUAUGCAUCAUAAUUGCAAAUAUCAUGCAUGACUUUAUUGAACAAAUGAGGUUGCAUUCUAAAUCGCCUUCGAAAAUCAACAUCAGAGUACAAAGAAGUUGGGAUAAAAUAAUCUUCCAAAAGAUUCUUACCCCUAGAAUGCCUAUGUCUUUCCACAUUCCGGCGGCGGCCGGCUUGUGAACUAUGGCGGCGACCUUGGUUCUCUUCUUCUUCCAAAGCCACUGUUAUGAGAACUUGCUCAUCGACUUGUCUCUGCAACUCAUUGACUUCAUCUGCUCUACGGUUUCUCUCUCUUCUUUCUCUCUCUUGUCUCUCCAAGCAUCUCCUAAAUUCUUCCAUUCAGAAUGAAUGAAGUAUGAAUUAUAAACUCUCAGAAAUGAAAAUAUAGAAAGAUGUGGUGUGAGAGGUAUGAGCUGAGACUCUGGUUUUAUAGAAAAAUUUGGCAAGAUAGACAUGCCAUGUGGCUUGAUUUUAUUGGAUGAAAAUCAUAUCUGAAAUUUGAAAUUCAUCCGAAAUUUGAACCCUAAUUUGUAUGAAAUUCAAAAUUUGAAAUUCAUCCGAAAUUUGAACCCAAAUUUAUCUGAAAUUUGAAUUUUGAAAUUCAUUCAAAAUUUGAACCCAAAAAUUUAUCUGAAAUUUGAACUUUGAAAUUAAUCCGAAAUUUGAAUCCAAAUAUCUUAUCCGAAAAUUUUAUCUGAUUAUGAAUAGUCUUGACACGUAGGAAUCCGAAAAUCUUAUCUGAAAAUAUUACCCAAAUUAAUUAUUUUCAUUAAAAAAUAGGAGGAAAAAACAAAAAAGUGAAUAGUAAUUGCCAUGGCUAAGGGCAACGGGUGGAGAAACGAUUUACUAUUUGCAAGGGCAACCACUAUUCACGUGAAUAGUGCUUGCCCUAGCUCCACCCUUGCCAUGGCUAAGGGCAAAUGGGUGGAGUUGCUCUUAGUAGAUAAGUAUCCACCGGCUUUACUCUUUCCUUGCUUAAUAAGUUCCCAAUUUUUCCGUUCUCUUUCUUACCUGGCUAGCUGUCAAAAGAGAUAACUUCGUAGUGAGUUAGCUUGGUGUUCACGUCUCAAUUCAAACCAAUCAAAUAAAACUUGACCGUUGGAAAGAAAAUCCAGUACACACUAGGAUUCCUACUUCUCCUCAAACCCUAAACCGACACAUUCAUAUGCCCUAUCCUAUAUAAACACUGCUGAUUCUCCAAACGAAUACCUUACAAUUCACCAAACAAAUUAAAAUUUCCUAAGUUUCUGCGAAGUAAAAGAAACCAUGAAAAGAAAGUCCGAACAAGAAGAAUUUGAAGAAUUUGAAGAAGAGAAAAAACAGAGGAUUUGGAGUCAUGGAGAGCACUGGCUGAGAGGGGAGAUGGUUGGAGAAGGAAGCUCUGGUUCUGUUUUUCUUGCCACUCCCAAAAACCCAAGAAGGGGUGAGUUUGGUAGCAUGCUAAACUUUCCGGGAUUGAUGGCGGUGAAAUCGGCAGAGGUCUCUGAUUCGGAGUCAAUCCGGCAUGAGGCAGAGGUUCUGUUGGACAUUAAGGGUUGCCCUUUUGUCAUUGAGCGUUUUGGUGAAGAAAUCACAACCAGUGAAGAGGGUGGUGAUCACAUGGUCUAUAACUUGUUGCUGGAAUUUGCCUCUGGAGGAACUCUUGGUGAUCUGAUUGAGAAAUCCAACGGUCAUGGAUUGCCUGAAGCUGAAGUUAGAAGGUAUACGAGGUCGAUACUUGAAGGGAUUAAGCAUAUUCACAAGUUUGAUUAUGUUCACUGUGAUUUGAAGCCGGAAAACAUUCUGCUUGUACCAAAUCCUGCAACUAGUACUGGUAGUUUUGUGGCUAAGAUUUCAGAUUUUGGAUUGGCUAAGAAAACCAAGGAGAAUUACGGUCAAUGGAGAGGCACUCCUACGUAUCUGUCCCCAGAAGCCUUAAAUGACAGUGAGCAGGAGCCGCCCUCUGAUAUAUGGUCUCUUGGUUGUAUCGUACUUGAGAUGCUAACCGGCAAGUCCUUCUCAGAUUUAAAGCCUGGUUGUGAACUUGAAGAUUUCCACUAUAUGUUUCAUCACGUAUGUACUCCCAAAAUCCCUGCUGAAGUCUCUGGUGUGGCCAGGGAUUUUCUUAAGAGUUGUCUUGCCAUGAGGUCUUGCGAAAGGCUGACCGCUGAAAAGCUCUUGCUUCAUCAAUUCGUUAUACGGCCAAAGCCAUCGAAAGCAGCUCGUCAUACAAAGGGGAAGGUGGUUUGCUCAUCUUCAGGCUAUGCAGAUGGCUCCAAACCAAGUGCAGAUUGUCACGCAAGCUCUGCCAUUGUUCGCAGAAUUCCGCCACCACCUGGUUUUGAGAUACUUGCUGCUCUUGUUUGAUGUGAUAAACUCAGUACAAAUGUGUUAGGUUCUUUGUUGUUGUAUUCUUUUGAAUUGUAAAGUCCUUUACUUGAAACUAUUCGUUUCAAGUUUAUCAACACGGAAUUGUUCAAAGUGAUUCAAAAUUUCUGUCCUGGUUUUUUGUUUACUUUUGUUCGUACUGAGUUGUGUUUACUUUUGGUUGCCCAGAUUUCUUUGUGCUUUAUUAGCUCUAACAAGGUGCGCACGCCCAUAGUUGCGACCUAAUCCUAAUUAAGCUACUAGCAUUUAGAUCAGAUGCUAAUGACUUAUUUCAAUAAUCUAGACUCAGCUUCUGCACUGGAGAUAAAUAGAUUCACAAAGAUUUGCAGUAACUUUGGGAGUAUUUUCCUUUUAUUGCUUGGCCUAAUUCCGGGAUGGUGGAAGAUUGCUCACUUAACUAUUUUUCUAUUUUUAAAGUCCCUUAAUUGCAGUUAACCAUUUCAAAGUUUCAAGUUUAUAAUGACAGACAGAACUAUGCAAUCACUCAAGUUUCUGUCCAAUUUCUGAUGCAGAUUCACUCUCCCUGAUGAAUGUACACUUCAUUUGAUUUGCUUCUUCUUAUUAAAACAGCUUUUUUGGUUGGUACUUGCUGCUAUGCAUGGGAUUUUCCCAUAGCUGGUGCUUGUUACAUUCUGGAUUAGUUUUUGACUUGCUUUAUAUCUGUUGUUGGUCUUGGUCUUUUAUGUUUAUAGGAGAGGCUUUCUUGUUUUUGCAGAUUCGAAUUCAUUUUUCUUUUUCCAGAUAAUUGUGAUUUAUUUCUUCCCCUUCUUCUACUUGUUCAAUUUACUUGGUGAUACAGUUGGUUCAUUACUUUACCAUUAAUGAAGCUUGUUUCAGCCUCUCUCCGCCUCAUUAUGUUUCGAGCUUAUAAGCUACUAGGAUUUGAACCACAGGGGCCCUAUAUCCAUCAACAUGCUAGGGUGCUCUUGCUACUAAUUCUGAGAUCAUUCUUAUACAAGUUACCAUUGCAUGAACAAAAUUUAAAGAACAAGAGAGACUACACCAAUUAAUGUACGUAUAAGCUGGACAUAAUACACAGCCUAGACUAGCUAGCCUGUAACCUUCUGUAGUCUGUGGUAGCCUGUAACCUUAUGGAGACUCAUCUGUAGUCUGUGGUAUCAUCACCACAGGCAGUAACAGCAAGGAGGCUUGCAAUGGGAAAAUGAAGUUGAACUAAUCUCAGCAGGAAAAAAAAAAGUAUAAAUAAAAAGAAUGGUGUAAUUACUCACUUUUUCCUGGAAUUAGAACAUCAGCUAUAGCAUACAUAUAUCAGAGUAUAAUACCUCAAGCAGAACAAAAAUUUGGAGAAAAUUUCUGUGGAUGCAAUGACCUUUUGAACUUAUAGCCUCUGUAAAGAUUCCAAAAUUAAAUGGUGGAUUGUCACCUUCAGCGGUGCAGCUCUUAAUAAGAACAUCCACUCUGAUAUAUGACCAUUCUUUGUAUCCUGGGACAUUUUCACAAAUGCCACAGUACAAGUAGUUUAUCCUACAUUUUUUAAUUUCAAUACAAGCCUCCCCGCCAGCAUGUGUCAUAGCACUCUACAGCUAACAAGUACCAGGCAGCCCCAGUGACCUGUAAACUUUUAUCGAACAAUGGUUGAAAAUUUUCAAUAAAUUGGUUAAGACACCCUACAAGAUACUUGAGCUACUAGUAUUCAGAAAAUAAAAAUGCAUGAGAAGUAAAGGCUUAAACCAUAAUAAAAACUUAAGCUUGUCAUGAAGAUUCAGUCAGAUCAUUCCACUGUGUACGUAACUUGGAAUAAAUGCUGUGCACUGUCCUUGUUCAAAAUAUUACAUUUUUGUAUGCAACUAACACUUUGCUGUGCUGGUCAUAUCAAUCUUACUGCAUUAGAACUGUUAAACAAGCACUGGACCAAAAAGCUUAAAUUGUUAGGGAAUGGGCGUCUAGCUAACACCCUCCCCCACGUGCAGCCUCAUCUUGUAAGUAGAGAAGCGAAGAGAUAGGACACAUGGAAACAUAUAGGUAUAGCCCCACCCGCUACUGCACCUUGCAAACCAACAAAGAACAAGGGAAUGGGGUUGGAGGUUUCAAACUCAUCACGUUCUGCAACCAGACCUCUGACGCCAUAUUAGACAACUACUAAGACUUCAAGAUUAUUUUUUUGGUCAAGAGACUCCAAGGUUAAGUUGUUAGGAAUUUAGCCAACAAUGUUUAUCAAUUUUGAUCAAAUGCUACGCAUACCACAUUGCUUUUACCCGGAUAUACAGGGACAACGACCUCCCUUCCACUAAUAAAAGAAACCACAAAUUAGUCUCAUAUAAUCUCGAAGACAUUUAUCAUCUUUGUAAUUUUUAAAACGCCAACUCUAUACAGGCCAAAUUCCUAACUAUACAACUUUUCUUAUGCUUUGAACAAAGGCAAGUGAAUUUAUGAUAAUUAAAAGUGAAACAAAAAGUUCCAGCACAUCACACAGUGUAGCAUAUGCUUUUGUAGUCAGGGGCCGAGCUAAGCAAACAAGGUAUUGAACUAAAAGUCAGAUAUUUGAAUUCAUCAGGAUAUCACCCCAUACCUAAAGUCAUGAUGGUUAGCCUGUUUUUAGUAUGUGACAAUACAUAUAUAUUGCACAAAGAUGGAUCGAUAUUGACAAUGCUAGAGCUAACUCAAUUCUGCAUUGCAGCCAACCUUCAUAUUCUUCUUGGGAAUUGUCUGGUAGGAAAUUUCAUUAAGGGAAAAGUUGAAUGGCUGAAGCAUGAAGAUCGACCAAAAUGUAGAAUGCAUAGAGAUGACAAAGGAAAACAAAAUAAAAAGAAGAAAACACCAUCCAUGUCUUCUUCCUCGAUGGAAAGCAGAUAGCCCUUUUACUUGUCAAUGUUUUAGUUAGUUCUAAGUAUGUUUGUUUAGUCAUACUUAGACAAAGAUAUAGAUGAUUCGACCAAAAAAAGACAGAUGUAGACAAUGUAAUCUACCUUUUGGAUAAAUCUCAGUGAUUCUAUAGAAGCAACUCUAAUUGAUUAACAAAUGACUUAAUUUCAAACUAGUGGAUGAUGAGUAUUUAAAUUCUAGGCAUUGUUGAACAAAUGGUUUAAGACCUCAGUUUCUGCAAUAUUAGGACUAGUUACUAGACAUGGAUUAUGCAUAAGUAAAGUAAUUGAAAUGGUAAAUUAUAAGAGGAGGAAGAAAGAAAUCUCAAAAAAAUAGGAAAAUGGCAUUGAAUGGAUUCUGCAAAAAGUCUCUCCUGAACAAUAGGAAGACUAAAAUAUAAAGCCAGAAUGUAUAUAAUAAAAUGAAGGGAACACCCAUCUGUAAGCCAAAACUAGCAAAACAAGGACCUAACAAACACACAAAUGGUAAAAUGAUGGACCAACUACGUCUGUAAGCCAAGAUACUAUUCUGCCCGAUUCCAAAACUAUCAAACCAAGGAGAUCCUGAGUUGCUCCAAAUUUUUGUCAAACCUGUAUACAUUGAGAGUCCAGAAGAUUCAAAUGGUUCCAACACCAUAUCAGAUUUAAAUCCUAGCUGGUAGCUUAAUUAUAAACUUGCCACUUGCGGUGUGUGCAAUGGAAUUUCAAGGGACUGUACAAGUAGCCAAUCUGACACCAUUCCUUUUCUGGAAUUAGGCAAAACAGGACUAAUAAAAAGAACUCAGGGCUAUAAUAGUUAUAAACUUGCAUCAUUCAACUGAUUAAUAUCCUAGAAGCAGAAUUAUAAUAAUCUCACAACUACGAACCUGCACACACUACUAAAGAAAAUAAAACUGCACAAAAAUCAGGACUCAUAAAAGUAAAAAGAAAUCAGGACUAGCAUAAGUAAACAACAACUAGAACAAACAAACAAACAAAGGUAGGCAUCUUUGUGGUUCUAGAACAAACAAAAAACUGGUUUAACCAGAAUGAUCAGAAAAUAAAACUGGUCCAACUGGUACAACUAAAGCAGUUUUGCCACUCAAAAAGUUCUUUGUGCUUGGAUCAGAUCUCUACUGUUACAAAUAUUACUCAAUCUAUCUUUUGGAUAAAUCUCAGUCAUUCUAAACAGUCAACAAAAAUAAGGACUAAUACAAGUGAAAAGAAAUCAGGAUUGGCAGAAGUAAAGAACAACUCGUAUAUAUGUUUGAAUCAUUUUGUACAAUUUCGUGGUUAUGACCUUGAAAUGAAUAAUUUCAAGUGAUCGACUUUACAAAUAAAAAAAAUACUAGAAUAAAGAAUCAUAAGGUUUGUAUCAUGAAAUAGAACCUCAACUUCUAUAGUCCAGCUGGUAUCUCAAAACCCGGUGAGGGCUGAAUUCUGGGAACAGGGGCAGAGUUUGUGCGGUAAUCUUCAAUUGGUUUCAAGCAAGAGGCACCAUCUUCAGAGCCCAAAGAUGAGCUAAGCACCUUCACCUUGGCAUGACUUGGUUCAGAUAGUUGUGGCUCCUGUACAAAUGGAUGAAGUAGGAGCUUUUGAGCGGUAAACCUUUCCCAUGAGUUGACUGCAAUACACUUCAUAAGAAAAUCCCUUGCCAAACCAGAGAUUUCAGUAGGGAUUUUGGGAGUUAUUUCCCCAGCAACCAUGUCCAGGAAAUCAUCAAGUGUCGAAUCAGGCUCCACAUCCCAGGGGGGCUUGCCUGUUAACAUCUCAAGCACAAUAGCACCAAGAGACCAAAUAUCAGAACACUGCUUCUGCACAUUAUCAAUCAAAGCAUCUGGGUCUGUAUACCUAGGAGUGCCUCUCCAUCCAUCCAUAUCAUCUUUGGUGCUCUUAGUCAAUCCGAAAUCAGCAAUCUUGGCCACAAAACUAGAACUACCACUGGUGCUAGUAUCACUAGGAACAAGAAGGAUGUUCUCCGGCUUCAAAUCACAGUGAACAUAAUCACAAUUGUGAAUAUGUAUAAGCCCUUCAAGUAUGCACCUUGUGUAGCUCCUCACAUCAGACUCAGGCAGCCCAUGACCUCUAUAGCUCUGAAUCAGACCAUCAAGGGUUCCUCCAGCAGCAAAUUCCAAAGCCAAGUUGAAUAUUUCUUCACCUGUGUCAUCAAUGGUUGUCAUUUCUUCACCCAAGUACUGAAUUACAAAAGGGGACCCUAUAAAAUCAGAGAGAAUGCCUGCCUCAUGCUGAAUGGAUUCUGAAUCAGAGAGCUUAGCAGAUUUGACUGCCAUGACUGGAGCUGGAGGUGUAUCAUUUAGAUUAAGCUCCCAAAGGGGUUUUUUCCAAAAAGCAAGAAAAACAGACCCAUAGCUUCCUUCUCCGAUCAUCUCCCCUCUCUCCCACUGAUUUCCAUCACCCCACCACAUCCUCUGCUUUUUCCCUCUUUCUUCUAAUUCUUGCUCUGCCUUCCGUUUCAUGAUUUCUUCACUGAAAAUACAAAAUAUUUCUUGGGUUAAUUGGAAUUGUAACUGAGAAUGAGCGGCUACACUUGAAUUCUUGAUUCGGAGAACAGGAAGAUGAACGAUUGGGGAUUAGGGUUUGAGGAAAUGAAGUUUCUGUCUCCAACGGUCGGGUUUUAAGUGCGCCAAUACGCGUGAAGUUACAAAUUUAUUUAUUUUAUUUAUUUUUACUUUGACAACGACAGCUAACUAACCUAGCCAGCUGCCAUAAAAAGACAAAAUUGAAGAAUUUUGAAAAAUUGUAGGCAAAAAAAUCUUUUGCAAAUACGUUUUUUACUUUUAACUUUAUUGUUGAAAUAAAAUCUAUUUAUUGUUUCAUUAAAAAUAUAUAUAUAAUUCUCAAACAAUAUACCUUGAUUAAUAUGAGGCAAUCCUUCAAACCAACUGCAAGAGUCACCAUUAUGAAAAGCGAAGCACUUGCAAUAUGAUGAGCAAUUUCAAUUGAGAAAAUAUAUAUUUGUUUAUAUACAUUAUAGAGAAAUUUUCUCUUUUUAAUAACUGAAAUAGGUAAUCAAAUCAAUCAUAUUAUAAGAAACUUUUCUCAUAGCUUGCUAUAUAUUUUUAAUUUUCUAGCACAUCAAAUCAUCUUAAAAUUUGAUAUGCCAUCAAACUUCAAAGUUUAAUAACUAAUAAAUUAAUAAUUACAACCCAAAAAUUAAUAACUUCGAAGUUCCACCAAAAUUCAAAUUAAAAAUUCUUAUUUGGUUGGUUAUUAGCCAAUGAGAAUACUAUACAUUUAAUAUAAAAAUAAGGGUAUAUUAACGAUUUGCUCUCUAAAUUUUUACCUAACUUUCAAUUAACCCCUUAUUCUUUUCUUUUUUUUUUAAUUUAAAGAAAAUUAAGGAUGUGAACUUUUUUUUUCCGCUAAUUUCCCUUCUCCGUCUAAAUCCACAACAUUUCAUUCAAUUUGCCGUUUAAAAUGAGGGCAAAAUGGUCAUUUUGUACAUUAAAAAUAAAUUAAAAUUAAAAACAGAAAAUUGAAAUACUCCAGCAGCAGAAACAGAAACAGAAAAUCAUUCCAUAUCUGUGGUGGUGGGCUUUGGGUAAACGUGGUUGCUGAUGACCUUAUUGGCGUUUGAUGAUGUGGUGGUUUCACAGGCUCCAGCAACAGUUGCUGAGGACUAUUAGUAUAAUCUGAAACAGAGCAAAAGCAUUGGACAAUUUGAUCAAACAUCAUCCUCUUCACUAACCUCUUCUUCAUAGGGAAGACACUGCCAGGUUUUGGUUUGAACAACCAUGGCUCAGCCUUGGUUUGAUCUUGAGAUGGGCUCAAAGUCAGCUUCAUGGGCUCCUUUGGGUUGUGCUCUGUUUUUAGGCAGAGGAGGUCUUCUUCCCCAUCUGGCUUCAAGUACUUCAACGCCUUCCUUUCAUCUGAAGUUUUCUUCAUUGCCAUCUCUCUCUCUCUCUCUCUCUCUCUCUCUGCAAACAAAAACUAUCAAGAAUGGAACUCUCUCUUAGAUUGCACAACCUUCUCUCACCCACCUUCAGACCCAAACUAGCAUCCGUUUCGGGUGGGGAUGGGGUGGUUGUAUGUAUGAUGGCGUUAGGCGGCGAUCUAGGGGUGAAUCUCGCAUGGGGAUGGGGCUGGGGGAUCGGUCUCUGAGCCCCUUUGAAGUCCACACCUUGUUGUGCCGAUCUUUGUAGCCGGAGGCCCUCGAGACGUGGAUGAUGCAGGAGUAGUGCCACUCGCGGAAGCGGUUGUCAGCCCUCUUGAGGGCUAGACACGAUGGGUCUUGAUCUUCGUCGUCGGCAGCUGGGUUAGUGGCACUGCUGCUGCCGUUUCCAAUUCUUGGGAACUUACAUGCUUGGGCUUGAAUCUCCUCCUCGUCCAUAUCAGUACUUCCAUGCCUUUCUCAAACAAAGACUCAUUCAAUUUGGGGAAUUUUUUUUUUUUUGGCUGGGUUUUAGGGUUUUUAGCUGUGUUGUGAUGGGGUUGAUGUGCUGGAGGAGAUAGAGCUGGGGGAGGGAGGCGAUAGGAAUGCCAGUUCAGUUUUUUUUUUUUGUUUUUUUGUUUUUUUUUUUUUUUUGUGUGUGUGUGUGGUCAAUUUUCUUCUUUUUCUUCAAAAAGUUUUUUUUUCCCAAACAAAUCAUUUAACUAAAAAUUAGAUGAAAUAAUGAGAAUUUAGACGGUCGGGGGAAAGUGGCAAAAAAAAGAAGUUCAUAUCCUUAAUUUUCUAUAUAAUAAAAAAGAAUAGGGGGUUAAUUGAAAGUUAGGUACAAUUUCAAGGGGCAAAUCACUAGUAUACCCUAAAAAUAAAUACAAGUGGUUGGUCUUGUUUAGUUUAGGCGAGUUUACAACCAUUUCAGUUUACAGUUUCUAAUUUUUCAGUUUUAAUUUGUAAAUAAAUGAUGAAAAAAAAAAUGUUGAAAGCAAAAAAAGAAAAAGAAGCAAGACCCCAACUCCAAAGAGAAGACCAAACAAGAAAUAACUAGCAACUUAGACAUAGGCGAAACUAAAUGAAGUCCAACAAAGGAAGCCUAAAGUCCAAUUUUUCUCACAAUUGUACAAACUUUCCAAAGUGCCCUAAACUAUUAGGACAAGAAUAAAAAUAAAACUAAAAACGUUUGUGGCAUUCAAGGUUUCACUUAUAAUUGAGGGCUUAAUUGGAUUUGGAAAAUGAAUAUGAUUAUAUAUAAAUUUUUUUUUGGACAGAAAUAUAAUUAGAUAUCUUGUGUAGCUAUGAGAUUUGUGUUGCAACUAAAAAUGUUGAGGAAACACAAAAGGCUUGUAGUUCAAGUGGAAGAAGAAGAAAAAAAAAAAAUCACAAAAAACAUGAAAAAAGUAAUAUAUAAUGGAUGUAGAAAGCGUCUCCUAAACAAUAGACGACUAAAACCAACAACAAAUUCAAAUAUUUGUAUUUCAAAUACAAAGUCAUACAGUCCCGAUCUGUUGGACCACAGGAGUCCAAGAGAUUUGUGGUCACUCACCGUUGGAUGUAAAUUCAACGGUUCACUCAAUCUUGAACUAAUUAUUGAAAUUUAAGGAUAAAAACUUAAUUAUGAAAAUUUUUUAUAUAAAAUUAGCACACUAGUGUCUGUGGUGUUUUUAGCCUUACAAGAAUCCCAAUUCACUCACCUGAUAAUUAUGUACAAAAUGAAAGAAGUUGAGGUUCUACCUAAAAAUUAAUUUGCAAUGGGAGGAGUAUUUCAACUCUUUAUAAGACCUUGCUAGGUUUGUCAACUUUCCAAUGUGGGACUUUUAUCUUCAUAUUCCCACAUGCCCCCACACGUGUGGUGAAUUUUCAAGCCUAGCACGUGGACAACACAUAUUGAAUGACAUGGAGCACGUGUGGCCGUUGGGCUUUCAUACGUAGGCUAACCUGUUUUGAUACCAUGAAGGAAGUUGAGGUUCCACCCCAAAAUCAAUUGGCAAUGAGGGGGAGUAGCUCAACUCCUUAUAAGCCCUUGCUAGGUUUCUCAACUUUUCAAUAUGAGACUUUUUACCUUCAUAUUCUCACAAAAAAAGUGACUGAAUUAAAUUACUAUUCUUAAAUUACAACAAUUACUAAACUACUACCCAUUGGCCAAUUGGUUUUUUUAGAUUUGUUAUUUUAAAAUUAAAAUAAGAUAACAGGUAGCUGUGCUCCAUAAAAAUAGGACCCAUUAUCUUAUUUUGGAAUUAAAAAAUAUAAUGUAUAGUUGUAUCCUAUAAAAAUAGAAUCCAUAAUCCGAUUUUUUUUAAAUAUGAAAAAGUGUGAAUUUACCAUAUUAUCCUAAUUUAAUUAAUAAUUUUAAUUCUUAAUGUUUUAUGUUUUAUUGACUGAAAUGGUCCCCCAACGAUUGCCCCAGUAUCAUUUUGGUCCGUAAACUAAAAAUUUCAUUUCAAUGGUCCUUUAACUCUUCAUUUGGUAUCAAAACAGUCAUACCGUCAAAGUCUGUCAAUUUUAAUGUUAAAUUGAGGGGUAAAACUAUCCAUAUAAAUUAAAAUAUUAAUUAAAAAAAUUUAAAAAUUGAAUCUCACCAUAAAUACCUACUGUAGUUAGAGGCCAGGAACAAGGAAAAGAUGUGAUUCACCACCAUCCUAAACCCUCUCUCUCUCUCUCUCUCUCCCCUUCCAUAAGCCUCCUCUCCCACCAAAAACUUCUCAAGACACCCACUACCUCCUCUCCCAGCUAGAUAGAUCCUAUCACAAAAGCAGAAUUAGCAAUGAAUAGGAAGGAAAUUGGAGAAUAAGAAGGAAGAUAGAGUCGACCAUGACAUCAGUUGGCUGGAAGUAGAUGAAGAGGUAAUAGCCGAUCACAAGCAUAAUUGAAGUUCCAACUCCAAAAUUGCAAAAACCCAAAAUCAAACUCAGAAUACCCAUCUCUAAUUUGCCCUUAAAAUUUAUGUUUCCAAUAGCUGUCUACCAAAGGGUUUUAGAAUUUUUCUUAUUUAGUUCCUAAGAUAGUAUUUGAUUCAUUGAGCUGAUGCUACUACAUGGACAAGGACACUUGAGAUGUUUCAUCAGAAUGCCCUACCCAUGAAUUUCUUUCCAUUUCUGGAAAAUUCAAGGAAUGUGCCAACAACUCUUAGAGACUUUAAAUCCAUGGAUUUGUUCCCUCAACAAAUUGGUUUUGGCUCCUCUGUUCCCUUAGAAGAGGUUCCAUAGAUCCAAUUUCUGUAAAUUUAAAGGCAUUGUUGCAGCAAAUGAUUUUGUUCAGUUUAUUGCACAUGGACAAGUAGGAAGUUACAUAUAGCUAGGUCUGUUAUAACUUUAAUGUGAAGUAUUUCUUAGGCUCAUUAUGGCUUGUUCAUCAUGUGUCAAUUUGAAGAAAUAUUCCCCAGGAGAGCCUCCAAAGGCACAAAUGACUACAUUCUAUGGCAGACAAGUAAUAGUGUUCAACAGAAUAAUUGACAGAGAGAGGAAUUCGGUGAGUUGUAGGGGUAGAUAGACUUUGAUGAUCUUGCCCCUCAAUUUCACGGAAUAAUUGAUGGACUUUGACGGUAGGACCAUUUUGAUACUAAAUAGGGAGUUGAAAGACUAUUGAAAUGAAAAUUUUAGUUGGUGGACCAAAAUGAAAUUCGAGCAAUAGUUGGGAGACCAUUUGGGUCAAUAACCCAUGUUUGCAUUAACAAAGGGCAUUUUCUGUUAUUUCGAAUGUUUUACAAUUCUCUGUCUUUUGUAAGUCUUAAGUUACAACAAUAUUAAUCAUGAUUCUCUUCUAAUUGAUGCUUGUAACCGGGGUUAGGCAUUACAUCUUCCCGUUCUUUUCUGUUUGUUGAUUCAUAAAGUUCCAUCGUACCGUCGAGGUUCCUAAAACAAAAGUCUUAAGUUACAACAAUUUUAUUAUUUAUUUAUGAAGAAGAGGUAAAUAGAACCAGUCAAUUAAUUGUCAGAAGUGUAGAAGUUAAAUUGUCUCAAACUUUGAGGACAAAAAAAAAAAAAAGUUCCUUAUCAUCAUCAUCUAGUCCAUUUCGGCUUCUUUUCCCUCCUCUCCUUUCUCACGACAAAACCAAAUCAACCACAAAACACAGAGAUGGCCAUGCCACCAUGGCCUUCUCAUCAUCACCUUCCAUUCUCUCUCCACAUUGCGCAAUUCACCACCCUCUUGUUCUCUCCCACACUUCUCUACGAGGACGGAUCCAUGCUGCUCUAGCCCAGUGUUGACUUUGGAGAGAGACAAAUUAGGCUUAGUUGUGUAAGCUUAAUCCAAAAAAAAUUAAAUAAUAGCCCACCAUUUUUUCUAGAACGUAGCCCAUAUUUGCAGCCAAAUACUUUAAUACUUCAAUUAUUAUUAUUUUUUUCUCUCUCUUCUUUGUUUUAUUUAGCUUUUGAUUUGGCUCUAAUAAUGUUUAUAUAUCUCUCUGAUUUUAUUUUUUUUCGAAUUUAUUGAUGUUGCUUCUUUUGGAAAUAUUGAAAUAUGGACUCUCCCUAAUUAAACUACUCUGCUAACCCAAAGUCCUCGAGCUUCAAAUUGUUCUUCUUCUGAGCCUUUGAAUUUUGGUUUUUCUGGGUUUUCUUUGUUUAGAUAUCUCUCUGAAAAUAGUAUUUUUCUUUUAAUGAAUUCUGAAAAUAGUUUUUAAUCUAGGGGAAAUAUACUAAAUUAGUCAAAAAGUAUGCCACUUUUAUAUAUAUAUAUAUAUAUAUAUAAAGCAAAAGGCAAAGAUUGGUGAAACAUUCAAAAACCAGAAAAUGACCUUAGUUAAUUCAAAUAUUAAGAAUUAAAAUUAUUAAUUAAAUGAGGAUAAUAUGGUAAAUUCUUAUUUUUUAUAUUAAAACAAAAUUAGAUAAUAGGUCCUAUUUUUAUAGAACACAACUACCUAUUAUUUUUUUAAUAUAUAUAUAUAUAUAUAUAACAAAAGGUAGAAAAUGAUGAAAUAUUCAAAAUAUCAGAAAAUACUCUUAGUUAAUUCAAAUAUUAGGAAUUGAAAUUAUUAAUUAAAUGAAGAUAAUAUAGUAUAUUCACAUUUUUUCAUAUUAAGACAAAAUUAGAUAAUAGGUCCUAUUUUUAUGGAACGUAGCUACCUAUUUUUUUUUAAUUCUAAAAUAAAUUAAAAAUUUUUAUUAAAAAAUCUCUCGCAACUUCGCAAGCACGAAAAUGCGUGUAGAAAGGCUAAUUAAUCCGAAGAAGAUAUUGCUUUUGAUAUAUAUAUAUACAGUCCCCUUCUAUUGAGGGAUUCCUCAAAUAAUUUUAUUUGAGGGACGUCCUUUAGGGUACCCUACCAUUUUUUUCCCAAUGAUCCAAACAAUCUAUUUUUUAGGUCUUCAUUCAUAAAUCAUUCUUACAAAAAAUUAGACAAAUCGGAAACUAUUUCGACAUCCAAUUGUGUCUUACAAAAUCAAUGAACACGGUGCUUCAAGAAAAUGCUAAAAUUUCAAUAACUUAAUUGAGUGGUCAAAUGAUAUCGGAUUCAAGUGAUUUUUUGUAGAGAUGAUCUUUAAAUGAGUAUCUACAAAAUAGACGGUUUUGAUUAGUGAAAUACAGUCCGGAGUGGGGCCUACAAGGGGUGUCCCUCAAAUAAGCUUAUUUGAGGGAUCCCUCAAUGGAAUCUCUCUGUAUAUAUAUAUGUUUAAAAAUAGGGCUUAUAAUUGAUCCCAAAACAAAACAAAAAUUAGCCCACCCCCUGUAAAUAUUCCUGGGUCCGCCAUCUUCUCACUUCAUUACCCAAAACUGCUACUGCCUCUUAAGCUUAUCAACUUUUCAAACGCUUCCAAAAUUCCCCGUGAUUAAUAACAAAAGAAUCCAAUGCGCUGAAAAAGGCUCUUCAGCUUCAAGUUUUGAUCCCAAGUUCGGAGUUUCAGUCUACAAGCCCAAGUCCUAUGAAGUUCUUGUCACUGAUGCUGCAAAAUCGCUUGCUUAUGCUCUUGAAGAUGGAAAGACCCGCUUGGAGAUUGAUUUUCCGCAAGUGUUUUUGCCCUUUUUGUUUGGAUUUUUUGAAAAGUCGAUGAGAAUUUGUGGAAGGUUUUGAAGUAGAUAUUGUUUGGAUUUUUGGUCUUUGGGUUUUGUUUGUUUCCGUUAUGAUGUUGAGCACACUGCAAGUUUGGUACUAUGAAUAACUUGCCAUCUAGAAGAAAGAUGGAAAAUAUCUUAAAAAGGUUGAGAACCUUGUGAAAAUGAAUAAAU
rnacentral:lncRNA from 1 species